rnacentral:rRNA from 1 species
CCUACGGGAGGCUGCAGUCGGGAAUAUUGAGCAAUGGAGGCAACUCUGACCCAGCAACGCCGCGUGAAUGAUGAAGGUCUUCGGAUUGUAAAGUUCUUUUAUAAGGGAAGAAGAAAGUGACGGUACCUUAGGAAUAAGCCUCGGCUAACCACGUGCCAGCCGCCGCGGUAAUACGUAGGAGGCAAGCGUUAUCCGGAAUGACUGGGUGUAAAGGGUGCGUAGGUGGUUUGACAAGUUAGGAGCGCAACUCCGGAGCUCAACUUCGGAACUACUACUAAAAGUGUUGGACUUGAGUGCAGGAGGGGCAAUCGGAAUUCCUAGUGUAGCGGUGGAAUGCGUAGAUAUUAGGAGGAACACCAGUGGCGAAGGCGGAUUACUGGACUGUAACUGACACUGAGGCACGAAAGCGUGGGGAGCAAACAGGAUUAGAUACCCCUGUAGUC